UUCAAUUUAUUGUUAUUUAUGUAUUCAUUUAUUUUAUUAUUGCAAUAACUAGAAAUUUACGAGUAACCUUUAGAAAAUGUAUUAAUUAUUUAAAGAUGACAAUAAUUUUGUUACGUAGAACGGAUCGCAUUGUUUUGACAACAGCAACAGAGCACUUGUAUCAAAUAUCAACAAUUGAAAAUUUUGCCUAAAGUGUUGUAUAUGUUCGGAACGAAUACAACCAAAAUCCUUCCAUCCUGUACGGUGAGAAUGAAUUCAAAAGAAGGAACCGUAUUUUGAAACACACGGUAUUUAAUGUGAUCCUGCCACUGAUCAUUACAAACUUGCAACCUUAUAACAACAGAGGAUCGCCAAACCUACCGCAAUUGCAAAUACUUUUUGCAUUAAGGCAUAAAAAUGCAACUGGAUGUUUUCAGAUGGUGUGUGGUGAUCUGAACAGAAUAAGCCAAUCUACAGUCUGUUUAAUUAUAAAUAAAGUCUCUGCAGAGUUGAGUAAAUUACUUCCUAGAUUUGUAAAUUUUCCAAGAAAUAUGAACACAGCCAAAAGGAAGUUUGAAGAAUUAAUAAGAUCUAAUACUCACCAUGACCUAAACAGUAUAAUCAGAGCUAUUGACUGCACCCAUAUAAAAAUUAAUAGACCCAAAGGUAUCGCUCACUCUGAAGCAUACAGAAAUAAAAAAGGGUAAUUUUCUGUAAAUGUGCAAGCAAUAAUAGGGCCUGAUAUGGAAAUAUUUGAUAUAGUGACCAGGUGGCCUGGCAGUUCACACGACAGCAGGAUAUUUAGAAACUGCCAGGCGUAUGCAAGGCUGCUAAAUGGUGAACUAGAAGGAGUUUUAGUAGGUGACAGCGGUUAUCCGGCACUUAACUUCAUGUUAACAACACUUUUAUAUCCAACGACAAGAGCUGACAAUAAUUAUAAUUAUUCUCAAAUAAGAACUAGGCAUAUUGUUGAAAGGGUUUUCGGAGUGUAGAAAAGGAAAUUUCCAUGUUUACAGCUAGGACUACAGUCAAAAUUGACAAAAUAUACUAGUUAUAUAUAAUUAUAGCUUGUGCUGUAUUGCAUAAUAUAGGUAUAUAGAGUCAUAAGCAUCCCCUAUGCUUAUGAUGAUGGUGAUCUUGCUGACAGCAGAAGUUGAGUAACACAGAAACAAUGAAAGAUCUCCUACAGGUCUAGCAUUCCGGCAAUCUGUGAUUGCACAAUUUAACUAGGUAAUUUGUUCGGUAAUAAAGAAUAUCAAAACAAAACUUGUUUCAUUUUAAACAUUUAUUUUCUGAUUCUUUUUUUGAGUGUAAUACAUAUUUCUAAUACUAAUUUAUAUUUUUGUUGAAGAAAUUCUAUUUCUAACAGAUUUUUUAAUUUUAUAUGUUCCACUCCUAUCUCAAAUUUUUUAGGGUAGUCAGGUAAUAAAUGGUAGAAGAUUCAGGGAAACGAAAAUAACAGAUGUGAAGCGAGAGUCAUCGGUUAGGUUAUAGUUUGAAUUUCGUUGUCACUAUAAUAUGCCAGGGCUGCCAGGUGACAGAUACGAUAUCACACCAGUUAUUUAUAAGAUCUCUCAAAAAUGGGGUUGAACACUUAUAUAAAUAAUGUAAAUAAACAACAAUAGAUACCAUAAUAAUGUAUAAUUAUUUUAUUUCAUCCAUUUCAUAGGUAUUUAUCAAGAUCAUUUAAAAUUUCUUUGAAUUCAAAUUCUAUUUUUCCCAAAGUCUAUGGAACUCUGAUACCAAAUGGCAACACCGUUCAUUAAAAACCGACAAAAAUAAAAAGUCCAGUAAAAGAUAUGAUGGUAGAGCAAAUUUUAGGCCAUUAUUUUUGUUAGGCUUAUAGUCAAAGUUUUUGGUAAGUCGUCGAUUUCGUGGACUUGAGAUUAAGCUAAGCCAACACUAGGGAGGGAUUCGCAGUUUGCUCUAUAAAUACCGACUGUGUCUUAGCUCGAUAGUUAAGUCAGAGUAAAGUCCAAGUGCGGACUAUAGAUCUCACCCUAAGUGCGCACUAUAGAUCUCACCCU